AGUGAACGCUGGCGGUAGGCCUAACACAUGCAAGUCGAACGGCAGCACAGUAAGAGCUUGCUCUUACGGGUGGCGAGUGGCGGACGGGUGAGGAAUACAUCGGAAUCUACUUUUUCGUGGGGGAUAACGUAGGUAAACUUACGCUAAUACCGCAUACGACCUACGGGUGAAAGCAGGGGAUCUUCGGACCUUGCGCGAUUGAAUGAGCCGAUGUCGGAUUAGCUAGUUGGCGGGGUAAAGGCCCACCAAGGCGACGAUCCGUAGCUGGUCUGAGAGGAUGAUCAGCCACACUGGAACUGAGACACGGUCCAGAAUCCUACGGGAGGCAGCAGUGGGGAAUAUUGGACAAUGGGCGCAAGCCUGAUCCAGCCAUACCGAGUGGGUGAAGAAGGCCUUCGGGUUGUAAAGCCCUUUUGUUGGGAAAGAAAAGCAGCAGGUUAAUACCCCGCUGUUCUGACGGUACCCAAAGAAUAAGCACCGGCUAACUUCGUG
rnacentral:rRNA from 1 species